rnacentral:rRNA from 1 species
CCUACGGGUGGCUGCAGUGGGGAAUAUUGGGCAAUGGGCGCAAGCCUGACCCAGCAACGCCGCGUGAAGGAAGAAGGCUUUCGGGUUGUAAACUUCUUUUAUCAGGGACGAAGCAAGUGACGGUACCUGAGGAAUAAGCCACGGCUAACUACGUGCCAGCAGCCGCGGUAAUACGUAGGUGGCAAGCUGUAUCCGGAUUUACUGGGUGUAAAGGGCGUGUAGGCGGGAGUGCAAGUCAGAUGUGAAAACUAUGGGCUAAAACCAUAGCCUGCAUUUGAAACUGUACUUCUUGAGUGCUGGAGAGGCAAUCGGAAUUCCGUGUGUAGCGGUGAAAUGCGUAGAUAUACGGAGGAACACCAGUGGCGAAGGCGGAUUGCUGGACAGUAACUGACGCUGAGGCGCGAAAGCGUGGGGAGCAAACAGGAUUAGAUACCCUAGUAGUC